rnacentral:lncRNA from 1 species
GGCCGGGGAGAGCGAGCGGGGCCGUGCCCGGCGGCGCGGAGCGGCGCGGCGGAGGCGACGGGAAUCCGGCCGGCCCCGAAGACGGGGAGCCGGCGCGGCGGGGCCGGACGACGGGCCCCGGCGGGGAGGAGGGCACCGAGACCCCCCAGACCCGCCGCGACGCCGCCGAGAACCGCCCCCGCGCCCGCCGACACCCACGUCGUCGGGGCCGCGGCCGGGGACCGCUCCCCGCCGCCCGCCGGCCCCACGACACGCGCACACCAACGACACGCCCUUCUUUCUCUCUCUCUCUCUCUCUCUCUCUCUCUCUCUCUCUCUCUCUCUCUC